UCGAGGAUAUUUAGCAAUGGGCGAAAGCCUGACUAUGCGACGCCGCGUGAGGGAUGAAGGUUUUCGGAUCGUAAACCUCUUUCGAUGGGGAAGAAACUACCGCCUUAAUCGGCGGAACUGACGGUACCCAGAGAAGAAGCCACGGCCAACUCCGUGCCAGCAGCCGCGGUAAUACGGAGGUGGCAAGCGUUACUCGGAUUUAUUGGGUGUAAAGGGCAGGUAGGUGGUCUUGUAAGUCGGGAGUGAAAUCCCUCGGCUCAACCGGGGAACUGCUUUCGAAACUGCAAGACUUGAGACUAGGAGGGGAGAACGGAAUUCCCGGUGUAAGGGUGAAAUCUGUAGAUAUCGGGAGGAACACCAGUAGCGAAGGCGGUUCUCUGGACUAGUUCUGACACUGAGC
rnacentral:rRNA from 1 species